UCUGAGUUUUGAGCAAUUAACUCUCCAACACAGGCUUUUAUCAAUACUUCUAGAUAUUAAUGUUGGGACAAGUAAGCAAUUUUUGGUUGAUUGGUUUGCGAAUUUGAACCAAUACUUGUUUCUUUACAUGUAAUUACGUUCGAUUUCAUAACUUUACAUGUUUGCCUAUAUAUUUCGUAUUUGUUAUUUUUUUGAUCUGCCUGUUCUACUUAGAAUACAAUUGCAGUGGCAAAAACACUAAGGCUUG
rnacentral:misc_RNA from 1 species